UACGUAGGGUGCAAGCGUUGUCCGGAAUUAUUGGGCGUAAAGAGCUCGUAGGCGGUUCGUCGCGUCGGCUGUGAAAACCCGGAGCUCAACUCCGGGCCUGCAGUCGAUACGGGCGGACUCGAGUUCGGCAGGGGAGACUGGAAUUCCUGGUGUAGCGGUGAAAUGCGCAGAUAUCAGGAGGAACACCGGUGGCGAAGGCGGGUCUCUGGGCCACUACUGACGCUGAGAAGCGAAAGCAUGGGGAGCGAACAGG
rnacentral:rRNA from 1 species